rnacentral:rRNA from 1 species
GACGAACGCUGGCGGCGUGCCUAAUACAUGCAAGUCGAACGAGAGCGACCGGUGCUUGCACUGGUCAAUCUAGUGGCGAACGGGUGAGUAACACGUGGGUAACCUGCCCAUCAGAGGGGGAUAACAUCCGGAAACGGAUGCUAAAACCGCAUAGGUCUUCGAGCCGCAUGGCUUGAAGAGGAAAAGAGGCGCACGCUUCUGCUGAUGGAUGGACCCGCGGUGCAUUAGCUAGUUGGUGAGGUAACGGCUCACCAAGGCCGUGAUGCAUAGCCGACCUGAGAGGGUGAUCGGCCACAUUGGGACUGAGACACGGCCCAAACUCCUACGGGAGGCAGCAGUAGGGAAUCUUCCGCAAUGGACGCAAGUCUGACGGAGCAACGCCGCGUGAGUGAAGAAGGUUUUCGGAUCGUAAAACUCUGUUGUUAGAGAAGAACAAGUGCUAGAGUAACUGUUAGCGCCUUGACGGUAUCUAACCAGAAAGCCACGGCUAACUACGUG